UGAUAAAGGAGAGCUUUUGUUCAUUAUGUU
rnacentral:piRNA from 1 species